CGUUUCGUCAUUCUUCGUUUUAAUUGUCUACUACUGUAGUGAGACGACAUUUCAGUACAUUACAGCUGUGUUUACAGCGACGUAUAGGUUACGUUCGGCGCACGAGGUAGAAUAAUUUUUUAGGUUAGGCCUACAUACUUUGAUUGCAAUUCGAAUGCUGAGAAAUCGGCUUCAUAGUGCUAUGCACGUACGCUGAUAUUUUUGCGUUUCUACGCAUCGUCAACCAAACAGACUGUGAAUGCACCGUUACUUCGCAAAAGCAAGAAAAUACAGGACACUAAUUGCUCUAUCGACGAUUGCGGGGUCACGACGUUCAGCGCCGAGAAGUUCAACUAUAAGUGGACAAUCAAGAAUUUCAUCAUCAAUGAAAAUCAAUCGUUUGAAUCUCCAGAGUUCAUUACUAGUAAUGACAAAUACAAAUGGAGUAUUUUGUUCACUGUAGAGCGUUUCCACCGAGGGGAAAGUCCAAUUAACCUCGGUUUGAAACUCUUAUCUGACUUAAAUGUAAGAACUGAAUUCAAAGUCAAAAUCAAAAAGUCAUUCGUAAGUAAGAUUAAUAACAAAAUUGAACGUUUUUUCGAAUCAAGCAAAAUUUUGUGUUCAGCUCAAGAAUGUAUCAUCAGAAAACCUGCACAUUCAAUAUGACAAAUAAAGCUAGCCUUAAAGCUAAAUCAGAACAGAUCUAUCCAAAUGGAAAUCUAAUAGUCUUGUGUAAUUUGGUUCUGUACAAAGGUGACACGCAUAAUUUGUCUCAAGAUAUUAAUAAAAUUAUUGAUCAAUCUCAUAUUGAAACAGGAUUGUCCAACGAUUUUCAAUUUCUUUUUGAAAAUAAGAUGUUUUGCGAUGUCCGUUUAGUAACGUCAGAAAUGAUGGAACUUUCCGCGCAUAAGUCUAUUUUGUCAGCACGUAGUCCUGUAUUUCGUGCGAUGUUUCAAACCGAAAUGGUUCAAAAGAAAGAAGCAAAAGUAAAAAUCGAAGAUUGUAGCUUUGUUGUAUUGCAGGAAAUGUUAAGGUAUAUUUAUACUGAAAAAAUAAACGACGAAAAUGUGCAAGAAUAAUUAUUACAGAUGGCCGACAAAUGUCAGCUACCCGGUUAAAAAGUCUUGCUAAAAAAUAUAAAAGUUCAGAACGUUGCAAAAGUUCUGAUUCUGUCUGAUUCACACAAAGAAUUUAUAUUAAAGAGUCACGAUAUUAGCUUUAUUGUAGCAAACUCAAAAGAAGUUAUUGAAAUAGAAGAUUUUCAAACAAUCAUGAGUUCCUAUCCAAAUUUAAGAACUGAUUUAUUCAGAGCUUUGUCCUAAAAUUCAAAAGAAAAAUUUCUGAGCCUAACGAAUCCAGAAAAAAGUAAUUUAUUACUUUAAAUGCGUAUCUUAUUUAUAAAAACCUAAUAUUAUACUAUUUAUAUGUGCAAAUCUAGAAAAAACCGGACACUUCAAAGGGUCUGAGUGAACAAAUUUUAAAUUUGGGAGCACACCUACCCGACCACUUUUUUUCGUUCUUUAAGUCAUAAAAAACUCGAAAAAUCUUGGGUUCCCAAGAUUAAAAAAUACCUAUUUUUUGCCGGGCAGUUUAAAUUCUCUUAUGGAAAUUUAACACGGGGAAAAUGAUCGAAAACAAGCCACGAUUCAACUUUACCCACUCAGUGUAUGUAGGUGCAAUCCAAAAAUGUGUAUUGCUAGGAUCGUAGUAUUAGAAGAGAGCUUCAAUUUAAGGGCUGGUGAGUUAAAAAUGGUUGCCUGGGCAAAAAGUUGUCUAGGCUUGAAAAUAGUAAGUAGUCACAAUAAGUAAGAUGUUUUACGAAAAUCAGCGAUCUUUCUCUUAUUCUUAAAAUUCUUAUAACUUUUGAUCCGAGCGGGAAAAAACUGGAUUAGCAUUUCAAGUUUACGAUCAGCUAUGUAUAUGCCUAUCAAUUAUGGCCGGUUUUGGCCGUUUUCAUCAUCAUAUAUAUAGCUGAUCGUAAAAUGAAAAUGUUAAUCUAAAUUUUCAAACUGAAAACGGAAGACAAGAGCUACAAUUUGAGCCCCUGAUGAUCGAAAUGGAUAGCUUGGGUCAAAAGUUAUAAGGAUUAUAAAAAUAAGAAAAAUCGCUGAUUUUCGUAAAAAAUCGAAAAAUUGGUGAUUUUUUGCCAUCUUCAAGCCUAGCCAACUUUUGACCUAGGCAGCCAAUUUUAACCCACCAGCCCUCAAAUUAAUUUUUUUUUUAAUACUUUGAUUCUAUUAAAACACAUUUUCGGUUUGCGCCUUCGGACAAAAAGUGGCAUUUUCCUGGUUUUCGUUAAUUUUCCCUGUGUUAAAUCCCAUAAGAGAAUUUAAACUACCUGACAAAAAAAAUAGGUAUUUUUUAAUCUUGGGAACCCAAGGUUUUUCGGAUUUUUUAUGACUUAAAGAACAAAAAAAAGUGGUCGGGUAGUGUGCUCCCAAAUUUAAAAUUUGUUUACUCAGACCCCCUGAAGUGUCCGGUUUUUUCUGGAUUUGCACAUAUGUGCGUUCAUAAUAUUUAAAAAUUGCACUGUUGACUGUGUUUUACGCGUUGGUAUUGUCAUUAAAAAAUUUUAAUAAAAAGAUAAUCUUGCAAAUGACGUAUUAAAAAUCAAAGCUUUAGAAGAUAUAACUACGAAGUUUGUUAAAGAAGAAACGAUUUCAAUUAUGAUUAAAACGAAUUUUAAAUAAUGUAUUUGUUAUAUUGUGUUCAAAAUAUUUUUUGCAGUAAUCAUAUUUAUCUCUGUAUUUCUAAGCAUCAGCUGAUGUGCGGAUAAGUUCGUUAUAUUUGAUCAAGUAAACCCAAUAAGAGAAAUUUUUAGGUUAACUAUAUUUUAUAGUAGUAUAGACAUUAGCGUUUUGAUACAACAUCGUGAAUAAUUAAAAAGUAUAAAAUUGUUCUUGUACUUAACAUAUCGUUCAAUGAGAAUAUUGGGAGUUUAAACUUGGUUCGCGCGCUCGGUUCGCGCGCUUGAAGGUUAACAAAGAUGGCGGCCAGAAAGUCUCCGAAAUACACAGGGCUCUUAUGGGGCUUCAUUAAAAAAUGUAGAAUUAUAAACUUUUACACGAUAAAAAAUCUUGUCAGUGUUCUUACACACUCCGUGUGAAUAGAGUGAGGCUACACUGUCGUCAAGAACAUGAUAGAAGGCCAGAACGUUAUAAAUUCUGGCAUGAUUAACGUGUAUGGUGCUCCGUAAAAGCUCAAAACAAAAAUUCAAACAAGUUUUUAAAAAUCCAAGCCUUAUCUGGUCACAGGGAUAUUAUUAUUAAAAUGAAAAUGAUGAAAAUGACGUAGAAGUGGUAGUUAAAAAAAUGGACUGUACGUACUCUUGUUCAGAUACUCAAAAUAAAUUUUUUAAAGUCAAUUUGUAGUAAAUAUCGUCCCUUUGCUAAGUACUUAGUAAAAACUCAAUGACAGAGUUUCUGCAUUUUUGAAUUACAGCCCUUGAGGAACGAAUGAGUGCAUCAAACUCUUUUUUUAGUAAGUAAGUAAGUUUUCUGUAUUCAAUACAAAAAUACGUUUCGCCCUAGAUAAUAGUCAACUCUAGAAGUUGAUUCAAUGAGUUCACGUACAAUUUACAAUAAUUGUUAUUCAAAAAUUGACUGAAAAUAUUGAACUCCCAUAUACCACCAAUGUAAACAGAGACUUUGUUGACGCUAUGUUUCUUAAUUCCCGAAGCUGCCGCUAGUAUCGCAUUGCAACUUUAAACUCCCAAUACACUGUGCAAGGCAAGUUUAAGUUUAUUUCUCAUAAAAUUUUGACCCAUUUUUACAGACAACCAAUUGAAAUAAAUAAAUUUGAAAAACUA